GUCUAUGGCCAUACCACCCUGAAUGUGCCCAAUCUCGUCUGAUCUCGGAAGCUAAGCAGGGUCGGGCUUGGUUAGUACUUAGAUGGAAUCACCUAGGAAUACCAGGUGCUGUAGGUG
rnacentral:rRNA from 1 species